UACGUAGGGGGCAAGCGUUGUCCGGAAUUAUUGGGCGUAAAGCGCGUGUAGGCGGCUCGAUAAGUCUGCUGUGAAAGUCCAAGGCUCAACCUUGGAAAGCCGGUGGAUACUGUCGAGCUCGAGUCCGGAAGAGGCGAGUGGAAUUCCUGGUGUAGCGGUGAAAUGCGCAGAUAUCAGGAGGAACACCCGUGGCGAAGGCGGCUCCCUGGGUCGGACCUGACGCUGAGGCGCGAAAGCGUGGGGAGCGAACGGG
rnacentral:rRNA from 1 species